rnacentral:tRNA from 1 species
CCCACGGUGGUCUAGCGGUCAGAACGCUGGCCUUGUAAUCCUGGGGUCUCGGGUUCGAUUCCCGGCGGUGUCA